ACAACCAAUCCCCUCUGAUGCACCCCACAGCAGGAGGCAGCUGAAUUCCCAGCGAGGCAAUUAGCCUUCCUCCAGCCAAAUGAUAAACAACGGCACAGAGCACACAGCCCUGAGAGAGGAGCAUGUUGGCUUCGAGGGGAAACGGGUGCAGGGCAAGGCUGAACAGCGCUCCUCUCGUGAUAUCGACUCCUAAGUGAUUAUUGUUUGGAGAAAUGGAUCUCUGGCAUUUGAAAAGUCAGCUCUCAUCUGCUGCAGCUCCACAGGCAGGGUGUUUUCCCCCGCUGCUGUGUAAUUGGGUAACUCUAAUUGCAAGCAAGGCUCUUUUCCUCCUCGGAAAACAGGUUGAAGUUUGUCCAAGGUAAUGAAGCAGGGGGUCUGAGGAUCAGUCGUGGAACAAAUUGCAUUAAGUGAAAUCAGGCAGUUGUCUGUUCUGAUUUCUUUCCUUGAAAGAGCCUCAUGACACCCAGCCCCUGCUGCUGCUGGACUGUUAUUAUCCUCCUUGUUCUAUGAAGAGACAAAAAUGAAGCGAUUAAGGGACAAGAAGAAGCAUUACAAUCAGCCUGCAUUCAGGCAUCCCUCGGAAGCCUGUGGCACUUCAUCCCAAUUUUUAAGUCCCUUUCAAUAAAUAACAUGGAAACAGA